AUUGAACGCUGGCGGCAUGCUUUACACAUGCAAGUCGAACGGCAGCGCGGGCUUCGGCCUGGCGGCGAGUGGCGAACGGGUGAGUAAUACAUCGGAACGUGCCCAGUAGUGGGGGAUAGCUCGGCGAAAGCCGGAUUAAUACCGCAUACGACCUGAGGGUGAAAGCGGGGGAUCUUCGGACCUCGCGCUAUUGGAGCGGCCGAUGGCAGAUUAGCUAGUUGGUGGGGUAAAGGCCUACCAAGGCGACGAUCUGUAGCUGGUCUGAGGGGACGACCAGCCACACUGGGACUGAGACACGGCCCAGACUCCAACGGGAGGCAGCAGUGGGGAAUUUUGGACAAUGGGCGAAAGCCUGAUCCAGCAAUGCCGCGUGUGUGAUGAAGGCCUUCGGGUUUUAAAGCACUUUUGGCGGGAACGAAAAGGACUGUGCCAAUACCACGGUUCGAUGACGGUACCCUCAGAAUAAGCACCGGCUAACUACGUG
rnacentral:rRNA from 1 species